AGUUCCGGAUAACUUUAAUUAAGACAUAUCUCGCCUAAUGAAUCGGAUGUUAACAAUAUACGCGGAUUUAGCAGCUAUGUAUGUAUGUAUGUAAAGGGAGGGAAACACGAAGCCAGAGAGGCGAUAAGGUAUUUUGUGUCCUGUAAGAAGACUAUAGCGCCCAUUGAGAACAACCUGGUACAGUUUACGGAGGCAGAACUAGACUUCAUGUAAGGUUUCAGGAGACCGAAUUCAUUAGGAUUAAGACAUGUAUGUGAAUAAAGGACUUCAAUUCAUAGCCAAACGGGCGUUUGGCUAAAUUAACUUUAAUGGACACAGGGGACUGUAGACGUUUUGAGUUUUCUAUGUAUCGUCUGAACUCCUAAAAUGCUCUAUCUAUUAAAACUUUUUAAAUUCA